rnacentral:rRNA from 1 species
AUUGAACGCUGGCGGAAUGCUUUACACAUGCAAGUCGAACGGCAGCACGGACUUCGGUCUGGUGGCGAGUGGCGAACGGGUGAGUAAUGCAUCGGAACGUGCCCAAUCGUGGGGGAUAACGUAGCGAAAGUUACGCUAAUACCGCAUACGAUCUAAGGAUGAAAGCGGGGGAUCGCAAGACCUCGCGCGAAUGGAGCGGCCGAUGUUAGAUUAGGUAGUUGGUGGGGUAAAGGCUCACCAAGCCGACGAUCUAUAGCUGGUCUGAGAGGAUGAUCAGCCACACUGGGACUGAGACACGGCCCAGACUCCUACGGGAGGCAGCAGUGGGGAAUUUUGGACAAUGGGCGAAAGCCUGAUCCAGCCAUUCCGCGUGCAGGAUGAAGGCCCUCGGGUUGUAAACUGCUUUUGUACAGAACGAAAAGCUCUGGGUUAAUACCCUGGGGUCAUGACGGUACUGUAAGAAUAAGCACCGGCUAACUACGUGCCAGCCGCCGCAGUAAAAC